AAAACUUAAAUGAACUAAAAAACUAACAAUAUGAAUAUAAAAUAUAAAUGUCUGUCAAUCUAGACUAAGAAGAAUGAUUGAUUCCAUCAAAGUUGUUCGUAGAGUGGCUGUGUUUAUCUCUCAUCACAUUCUAUUUUCAUUCUUCCCUUACCUAUUCUCUUUCCAUUUAUUUCUUUAUUAUUUAAUUUUUCACCUUUGCAUCCUAUUCGUCUCCUUUUUAUCUACUUUUAUCAUACCAUACUUACAUUCUACAUAUGACAACCCAGAACAACUUUGGCUAGCUGAAGCAGUAACUGAACACUCGGAUAAAUAUUUGUCGUGAUAAUUACAGUUUAUACUUCCA